CUUGCUCGUUGGCUCCGAGACCGUCCACUUCCUGGUCGCCUCGCUUCCUUUCCCCGCUGCCACCUGCGCAGCUUCCUGCAUUGUUGUCCUGGGCUGACGCUAAUGACGCGCGCCAUUCCCCUGAGCUGUCUGGCUGUCCUCCUCCCGCUGCUGCACAGCGCAAGCUCUCCUCCGCUCUCGCUCAGGUGAUCAAACACCACCUGAUCGUUGCUGAGAGCCAAAGGUGGUGGUCCUGGUGUCCUGGGUGGUGGCUUCCCCUCUUUUUUUGGUGUGCUGUGCGUCCCCUGGUCCUGGCUUUCCCUUCACUAAAGUGUGUGUGUGCGUGUGGCUGUCACGUGUGAUUGGGGUGACCUUAAUUUUGUUGUAUCCCUCACACUCUUGUCGACCCAUCUCCCUGCCGGUAAGCCUCAGUACUGAAAGGUCCCCCUUUCCUUACAUCCCUGUGUGGACGGUGUGUCUAGUGUAUUUUAGCGACGUAUUUUGUAAUAAAGAAUAGAUUUUUCUAAACUUGGAAACAUGUCUCCUGCCUCACUGUAGAGCGAACCUGAGUGCCUUAUUUGGGGUUUUGUAGAUCUAACUAUCUCCUUGGGCGAAACUCCCAGGGUGGUGUUGUCUGGCUUGUCCUGGUUGACUAAUUAAUAUAAUAUUCACCACUAACUUGGUAACCUAAACCUCCCUCCAUCUCUCCUGUUGCCAAACGUAUAACGAAAAUGACGUUGGGGCGAUCCCUCCUGGACCCCGUAGAGAUUGCAUUGGAGUGCCUGCAUUUAGAAAAAAAAGCCUUUUACAUCAAAGUCUAUGAGAGUGAUCGGGGCGAUUUCCAGCCAGACUGAUAUCACCGGAAAGGAUCGGAACGUGAUUUCACACUGCGGCUGAUUGGAUAUUCAGAGGCAGGAAGAGCUGUUUCAAGUGAAAAUUAUCAAAAUAAUUGAUAUAUUGUGUGUAUGACAUACAUUCACAUAAUCAUAAUCAUUUAUUAUCAUCGUCUUUCUUUUCUUUUGUGGCUCAAGGAGGGGCAGCACCCUAUUGCCCUCUAUUGGCCAGCCGCCCCUGGUCAGGACAGAGCUGUUGUUAUCUGGGAAUAAGGAUGUGGUAGUUAGGACUGGGUUCCAAAUCCAACUAAGGGGAGGAAAUGGAACCCAAGAUCGGCAGUUCAGGAGGCAGAGGCAGCUCUUAGACAUGCAGAGAUUGUAGGUAAUGUUCAGGGAGGCCUGGGGCUUGGCUCAGGCAAACCGGUAUGCAAUAAAGCAGGUCCCAAAGAUAAAAGAAAGCUGGUUGUGGAACAGAUACAUAGACAGGGGGAGAUAUUAAGGGGUGAAAAGAUAGUGGCCCAGGCUAAGCAGGGACAGUGGUUGAAUUGGGAAAAUGUAGAGAAGAGGAAGCUUAGUUGAAAGGACCUGUGGAAUAUGGAGGAGAAUCGUAUUAGAUUCCUGGUAGGGGCUACAUACGAUGUGUUACCAACCCCCAGAACCUAAAACUGUGGGUAAAUGGGGACCAUCGUGCCCAUUGUGUUCAGGUACCGCAACCUUAAAGUAUAUUUAGUCAGGCUGUAAAGUUAGCUUGUCACAAGGCUGAUAUACAUGCCGACAUAACCAGGUGUUGAAAAGUUUAGCUGCAGGCAUCGAAGGUAAACGAAGACAGGCAAAUUCAGAAGGUUUUAAAAAUAGAAGUUUAGCAAUUCAGUUUGUCCAUGGGGGGGAGAAAUACAGAAGUGAUAAGUUAGUAAGGAAGCAAGGGUGUGGCCACCUAGAAGGUGCUUGUGAUUGGGAAAUGCAAGUAUGUCAGGUAACAAGUCUGACCUUUAGUUAACACUCACUUAUUAGACAUGAUCAAUAUAUCUUUAUUAACAGGCUAUGUACCACAGUCUUUUAAGGUAGCUGUAAUUAAACUUAUUUUAAAAAAGCCCACCCUGGAUCCAGAGGUGUUAGCCAACUAUAGACCAAUAUCUAAUCUUCCCUUUCUUUCAAAGAUCCUUGAGAAAGUAGUCGCAGACCAGCUGUGUGAUUUUCUCCAUGAUAAUAAUUUAUUUGAGGAAUUUCAGUCAGGAUUUAGAGUGCAUCAUAGCACUGAGACAGCACUAGUUAAAAUUACAAAUGAUCUUUUGAUUGCUUCAGACAAAGGACUCAUCUCUGUACUUGUUUUACUAGAUCUUAGUGCGACAUUUGACACAAUUGACCAUCAAAUUCUGCUGCAGAGACUGGAACAUUUAAUUGGCCUAAAAGUUUCUGCACUAAGCUUUUUUAAAUCUUAUUUAUCUGAUCGAUUUCAGUUUGUUAAUGUUCACGAUAAAUCAUCCUUACGUACUAAAGUUUGUUUUGGAGUUCCACAAGGUUCUGUGCUCGGACCAAUCCUAUUCACUCUAUAUAUGCUUCCUUUAGGUAACAUCAUUAGAAAUCACUCUGUAAAUUUCCAUUGUUAUGCGGAUGAUACACAAUUGUAUUCAUCGAUGAAGCCAGAAGAAACUAAUGCAUUAACUAAACUUCAUAAUUGCCUUAAAGACAUAAAAACCUGGAUGAGCACCAAUUUCCUUAUGUUAAAUUCAGACAAAACUGAAGUUAUUGUUCUUGGCCCCAAACAACUCAGGGACUCUUUAUCUGACGACAUAGUUUCUCUAGAUGGCAUUGCUCUGGCCUCUAGCACUACUGUAAGAAACCUCGAGUAAUAUUUGACCAAGAUUUGUCUUUUAAUUCUUACUUAAAAGAAAUCUCACGGACUGCAUUUUUUCAUCUGCGUAAUAUUGCGAAAAGUAGGCCCAUCCUGACCCGGGCCUAGGGUCAGGCUUGCUUUGUACCAGCCCCUAGUUAGGCUGACUUAGGCCUAGUCUACCGGGGGACCUCCUAUAAUACACCAGGCACCUUCUCUCCUUCUCUCUCUCUCUCUCUCUCUCUCUCUCUCUCUCUCUCUCUCUCUCUCUCUCUCUCUCUCUCAUGUCCUGUUACUGCAUCUUGCUAACUCGGCCGUACUGCAUGUCACUAACUUGGCUUCUUCUCCGGAGCCUUUGAGCUCCACUGUCUCGCAGGUUAACUCGUAUUGCAGCGGUGCCUGGAUAGUGUGACGUGUGUGGUUGUACUGCCGCCGUGGUCCUGCUAGAUGCCUCCUGCUGCUGCUAUCAUUAGUCAUACUUCUACUGUUAUUAUACACAUAUGAUUAUUGCCACAUAUGUAUACUAUCAGAUGUUAUAUACUUUCAACAUAUUGUACCAAAAUGUAAUGUAAUAUAAAUGUGUAAAUGUAAUAUUAAUUAUAUUAUUACUUUCAUUAUUGCUGUUGUAAGCUACUGUCAUUACCAUCUGUCCUGCAUCUCUCUCUGUCUCUCUCUCUGUCUCACUGUGUCAUACAGAUUACUGUUAAUUUAUUAUGCUGAUCUGUUCUGUACAACAUCUAUUGCACGUCUGUCCGUCCUGGAAGAGGGAUCCCUCCUCAGUUGUUCUUCCUAAGGUUUCUACCGUUUUUUCCCCGUUAAAGGGUUUUUUUGGGGGAGUUUUUCCUUAUCCGCUGUGAGGGUCCUAAGGACAGAGGGAUGUCGUAUGCUGUAAAGCCCUGUGAGGCAAAUUGUGAUUUGUGAUAUUGGGCUUU